AUAUUUACUUGGCAGAAGACACCCUGAUCAGAAAGGUGCUUUUCCCAAGUUGAGGUUUUUCCAUUGCACUCUGCAUGUGCUGACCUCUGUGAUUUCCCCAAAUUCAGGGAACUCAGCUGCAGAAUUUGUGGUAAUGGGAGACUGUGUUCUCGAUUUCUUCUA